AACGAACGCUGGCGGCAUGCCUAACACAUGCAAGUCGAACGAGACCUUCGGGUCUAGUGGCGCACGGGUGCGUAACGCGUGGGAACCUGCCCUUAGGUUCGGAAUAACUCCCCGAAAGGGGUGCUAAUACCGGAUAAUGUCUUCGGACCAAAGAUUUAUCGCCUUUGGAUGGGCCCGCGUUGGAUUAGCUAGUUGGUAGGGUAAAAGCCUACCAAGGCGACGAUCCAUAGCUGGUCUGAGAGGAUGAUCAGCCACACUGGGACUGAGACACGGCCCAGACUCGGACGGGAGGAAGAGGGGGGGAAUAUGGAAAAAGGGGGGAAGGUUUGACCAAGAAAGGCCGGGGGAGAGAUGAGGCCGUAGGGGUUGAAAAGCUUUUUCCCCGGGGAGAAUAAGAACAGUACCGGAAAAAAAAGCCCCGGCAAACUCCGUG
rnacentral:rRNA from 1 species